rnacentral:rRNA from 1 species
AGUGAACGCUGGCGGUAGGCCUAACACAUGCAAGUCGAACGGAAGCACAGUAAGAGCUUGCUCUUACGGGUGGCGAGUGGCGGACGGGUGAGGAAUACAUCGGAAUCUACUUUUUCGUGGGGGAUAACGUAGGGAAACUUACGCUAAUACCUCAUACGACCUACGGGUGAAAGCAGGGGAUCUUCGGACCUUGCGCGAUUGAAUGAGCCGAUGUCGGAUUAGCUAGUUGGCGGGGUAAAGGCCCACCAAGGCAACGAUCCGUAGCUGGUCUGAGAGGAUGAUCAGCCACACUGGAACUGAGACACGGUCCAGACUCCUACGGGAGGCAGCAGUAGGGAAUCUUGGGCAAUGGGCGAAAGCCUGAUCCAGCCAUACCGCGUGGGUGAUGAAGGCCUUCGGGUUGUAAAGCCCUUUUAUUAGGAAAGAAAAGCUGCAGGAUAAACUCCGGCUGUUCUGACGGUACCUAAUGAAUAAGCACCGGCUAACUUCGUG